rnacentral:rRNA from 1 species
UCAGGAUGAACGCUAGCUACAGGCUUAACACAUGCAAGUCGAGGGGCAGCAUCAGGUUAGCUUGCUAACCUGGAUGGCGACCGGCGCACGGGUGAGUAACGCGUAUCCAACCUUCCCCCUGCGUCAGGGAGUAGCCCGGUGAAAACCGGAUUAAGACCUGAUAGUUUCACUAGAUGGCAUCUGACGGUGAAUAAAGGUUUCGGCAAGGGAUGGGGAUGCGUCUGAUUAGCUUGUUGGCGGGGUAACGGCCCACCAAGGCGACGAUCAGUAGGGGUUCUGAGAGGAAGGUCCCCCACAUUGGAACUGAGACACGGUCCAAACUCCUACGGGAGGCAGCAGUGAGGAAUAUUGGUCAAUGGGCGGAAGCCUGAACCAGCCAAGUAGCGUGCAAGGAUGACGGCCCUAUGGGUUGUAAACUGCUUUUGUGCGGGAAUAAAGUCAGGGACGCGUCCCUGUUUGCAUGUACCGCAAGAAUAAGGACCGGCUAAUUCCGUGCCAGCAGCAGC